rnacentral:misc_RNA from 1 species
AACACUGUUAACCUGCGGUACCUGCGGAAGGAUCAUUACCGAGUUUACAACUCCCAAACCCCUGUGAACAUACCUAUAUGUUGCCUCGGCGGAUCAGCCCGCGCCCCGUAAAACGGGACGGCCCGCCGCAGGAUCCACAAACUCUGUUUUUAUUGUAACUUCUGAGUAACAAAACAAAUAAAUCAAAACUUUUAACAAUGGAUCU